UCCUUGGUGGUUCAGUGGUUAGGACUCAGUGGUUUCACUGCUGGGGCCUGGGUUUGAUCCCUGGUCAGGGAA
rnacentral:tRNA from 1 species